CCCACCUAGGCCCGCGCAACAGACCCACAAUUUAUCUCAAUUUUUUCACGCACGGUUAAAUUGCUGGUUCUAGCGCCCUUAGCUUAGCGCCUGCAUUGUAUGUGCCCUAACUCUAGCCCCAGCCAGACCGCUCCCUCCUCUCUCCCUCUCCGAAUGCGGCGCUGGCAGCUGACCUGCCGCCGACCUCUGGCCCUCGGUGCCGAGCUCCGCCGCCUCUGCACAAACUCUGCCGCUUCACCGCCGCCAACACCCUCUCCCGCUCCGGUUCCACCACUUCCAGCCUCUCCCUUCUUCUCCACCAUGCCGCCCCGUCGACGGCCAGAUUCGGCGACCUCACUGUCAGAUCUGGCGACCUCGCUGCCGAGUCCAGUGACCUCACUACCAGAUCUGUGGUGCGCAGUCUCCAGCUAAGUGCCACGCGGGGUGAGUACCGGCGCCGGCGCGAGGCGACCCCUCUCCUCACAUCGGUAACCCAUCUGCACCAACUCCAUAGAAAAAUUCCGGAUGCGUUGGUCGGGAGGCAGAGCGGCUUGGUCACCAAGGUCAAGGACCAGGGCAACGACGCUGAGUGCGCACGGCGGCAGAUACGCAUGGUGGGUUUGAUUCCCUUCCACGCCCUACUCGUCAUUCUCGAUUUCCUAUGGUCGAUUUGUCUAUACGGACGCUGUAUCUGAAAUUAGAUCCUGCUGCUUCAUUAUUCCUUAAUUUUCUGCACGCAUGGUUAUAGCGCUUCCUGGCAUCUCCAUGCGUACGCACCUCUGGCCGUCCCACCCCAGACGCUAUCGCUACUGCAAGUGCUAGCAGCUGGAUGCCAUACCACUGAUGCCCGGCCACUGCUGAACAAAUCAUACUCAAGUAGUCAAGCUCACGCACUGAAGCACAUGCAGCUUAUAUGUUGAAUAAGAGUUCCAUUUGAUGAAGUAUCAGCUUCUUUGCUAAUCUGUAUAUAUUCCUGCCGUAAAUCUGAACCCAGAGUUUGCGUUUCAGUAUAAAUAGAAAUCAAGACGUGGAUUACAGUGUUUUCUGACUACCAUGUGUUUGAGUUUAUGCCCACAAAGAAUUGUUAUUUUGUUUCCACUCUAAAUAAUAUCCUGUAAGUGCUAUACCUCAUUUAAACAUUUCAAAUGAAACUUUUUUUUACAGAUAACAAUGUGUGUAUGUUCCACCGUAACAUGAGAAACUAAAUCUUGACCAUUGUCUAUUAUUGAAUUUUGUAUCAAGUGCAAAAAAAAUGUUUGUUACAAGUUGUCGGACUUGUAAGCACUGGGUCCUUGUACUGCUUCAUGUUCUUCCUAUGCUUAUGCUUAUUAGAGUUCUACUAAUGUUUGUCAGCAUCUUAGCAGAAACAUGUGUGGGCAAUUAUCUAGGAAGGGCAUGAAAGGAAAUUCAAGUUACUAUACAACAAGGUCCACGGGAAUACCGGGACGGGCUCCUUUUUACAGAUAUUAUAAGGCCCCGCUUGGAAUCGCUGUAGAAGUUUUACAUCCGUACAUGAAUACCCCUGUAUAUUACAGGAGAUUUGUAAAAUACAACCGGAUAUUCCCACAUGAAUAUGCUGCGCUUGGUUCGUCG
rnacentral:rRNA from 1 species